rnacentral:rRNA from 1 species
UUAUCAUUAGUUGCCAACACGUGAAGGUGGGAACUCUAAUGAGACUGCCUGGGUUAACCAGGAGGAAGGUGAGGAUGACGUCAAGUCCGCAUGGCCCUUAUAUCUGGGGCUACACACGUGCUACAAUGGUCGGUACAGAAGGCAGCGAAACCGCGAGGUGAAGCAAAUCCCUAAAGCCGGCCUCAGUUCAGAUUGUAGUCUGCAACUCGACUACAUGAAGACGGAAUUGCUAGUAAUGGCGAGUCCAGCAACAU